CCUACGGGGUGCAGCAGUGGGGAAUAUUGGACAAUGGGCGAAAGCCUGAUCCAGCCAUGCCGCGUGUGUGGAGAAGGCCUUCGGGUUGUAAAGCACUUUCAGUGGGGAAGAAAGCCUUGGGGCUAAUACCCUCGAGGAAGGACAUCACCCACAGAAGAAGCACCGGCUAACUCCGUGCCAGCAGCCGCGGUAAUACGGAGGGUGCGAGCGUUAAUCGGAAUUACUGGGCGUAAAGCGCGCGUAGGCGGUCUGAUAAGCCGGUUGUGAAAGCCCCGGGCUCAACCUGGGAACGGCAUCCGGAACUGUCAGGCUAGAGUGCAGGAGAGGAAGGUAGAAUUCCCGGUGUAGCGGUGAAAUGCGUAGAGAUCGGGAGGAAUACCAGUGGCGAAGGCGGCCUUCUGGACUGACACUGACGCUGAGGUGCGAAAGCGUGGGUAGCAAACAGGAUUAGAUACCCGGGUAGUC
rnacentral:rRNA from 1 species